AGCUUUUCGAAUCCGUGCUGAGAUUUCUUCAAACACCGACCCAUUAGGACUGAUCAGAUUUCAAAGAUAAGUGAAGUU
rfam:Schistosoma haematobium scaffold421_9, whole genome shotgun sequence.